rnacentral:tRNA from 1 species
GGUGAGGUGCCAGAGCGGUUAAUUGGCCAGCUCUCGAAAAGCUUGGGCUCGUUAUACGGGCACGCGGGUUCGAAUCCCGCCCUCACCG